GCCCGGAUGGUCUAGUGGUAUGAUUCGCGCUUAGGGUUCACCCAAAGCAUCAACUGCGCGAGGUCCCCGGUUCGAUCCCGGGUUCGGGCC
rnacentral:tRNA from 6 species